rnacentral:rRNA from 1 species
CCUACGGGAGGCAGCAGUGAGGAAUAUUGGUCAAUGGGCGUAAGCCUGAACCAGCCAAGUCGCGUGAGGGAUGAAGGUUCUAUGGAUCGUAAACCUCUUUUAUAAGGGAAUAAAGUGCGGGACGUGUCCCGUUUUGUAUGUACCUUAUGAAUAAGGAUUGGCUAACUCCGUGCCAGCAGCCGCGGUAAUACGGAGGGUCCGAGCGUUUACCGGAUUUAUUGGGUUUAAAGGGUGCGUAGGCGGCCUAUUAAGGCAGGGGGUAAAGUUUGGGGGCCAAACCUAGGCUUGCCGUUGAAACUGGGUGGCUUGAGUAGGUGUGAGGCAGGCGGAAUGCGUGGUGUAGCGGUGAAAUGCAUAGAUAUCACGCAGAACCCCGAUUGCGAAGGCAGCCUGCCAGGCCAUGACUGACGCUGAUGCACGAAAGCGUGGGGAUCGAACAGGAUUAGAUACCCCUGUAGUC